CUAGUAAGGCUUGGUAUUGGGGCACCCAGGCUGUUGGCCUGGGGCUCCCAAGUCUAUCGGCGGGCUCGCCUGGACUUCUGAGUGUAGUAACUCGUGGUAAAACGCGCCUCACUCGGUAUGUCAGGUGGGUUCUUGCCGCUAAACCCUCAAUAUAACAUAAGGUUGACCUCGGAUCAGGUAGGAAUACCCGCUGAACUUAA
rnacentral:misc_RNA from 1 species